UGCGUGUUUAAAUUGCUUUUCAAGUCCUUCUUAACAAAUAUCCAUCAUUAAGAUUUUUUUUUUUAAUGAUUAUAUGGCUGAAGCUGAUAUUUCUAGCGGUAAAAAAACGCAAAACUAAACAAAACAUCUCAAUGCUGGUAUAAGGGCAGAACUGGUUGGAUUGGGACUCAGGGGAUAAGAAGUAUGUGCCACUCGAUUCUGCUUUUUUUAACAGUAUCCUAAUUGCUCUGCAGGUGUAAAAGCUCCAUCUCCACGACAGCUCCAUCAUGUGUGCAAUAGCCUCGCCGCGUGUGCCUGCUUGGUUGCCUCUGAGCUGUGGGAGAACACUUCGGAGCCAGCUCUACAGUUCCAGUCCCAGCUUUGGAUCUGCCUGUGCUACGUUCUAGACGUAUGACAGCCCUUUGUACAAGGUACCCAGGUCAGCUUUUA